rnacentral:rRNA from 1 species
CAGUCGCCGCGGUAAUACGUAGGGUGCAAGCGUUAAUCGGAAUUACUGGGCGUAAAGCGUGCGCAGGCGGUUAUAUAAGACAGAUGUGAAAUCCCCGGGCUCAACCUGGGAACUGCAUUUGUGACUGUAUAGCUAGAGUACGGCAGAGGGGGAUGGAAUUCCGCGUGUAGCAGUGAAAUGCGUAGAUAUGCGGAGGAACACCGAUGGCGAAGGCAAUCCCCUGGGCCUGUACUGACGCUCAUGCACGAAAGCGUGGGGAGCAAACAGGAUUAGAUACCCCGGUAGUCCCUGUUUCUUAUAC